rnacentral:rRNA from 1 species
UACGUAGGGUGCAAGCGUUAAUCGGAAUUACUGGGCGUAAAGCGUGCGCAGGCGGUUGUGCAAGACCGAUGUGGAAUCCCCGGGCUUAACCUGGGAAUGGCAUUGGUGACUGCACGGCUAGAGUGUGUCAGAGGGGGGUAGAAUUCCACGUGUAGCAGUGAAAUGCGUAGAGAUGUGGAGGAAUACCGAUGGCGAAGGCGGCAUCCUGGACCAAUAUUGACGCUGAGGAGCGAAAGCCAGGGGAGCAAACGGG